rnacentral:lncRNA from 13 species
CCUCUUUAUAUCCCAAGAACUCUGUUUUGUUGGCACGUUUUGUUCAGUAAUCCACUGGCUCAAAGGUGGUCAAAACAUGCAGACAAAUUCAUCCUAAAAGUACCGGUAAAGUUCGUCAAAACAUGUCAAACGAUGUUUAUAAUUAAUCCUCAGGUUGUCAAUUGUCUAAAUUAUCGAUAAUAUUUUAAUCAGACAAUAGUGUUUUCAAUAGAAAGGAAAAACAACGAAGGCCGCGCACUCGAUCACGCUCGCAAACCAGCACUGCAUGAUUCCACAGUCCACUGACAGGAAGGUCUCAUUCUUCUUCAUUUUUCAGAAAACAAGCCUGAAUCAACAUCUAAAGACUGUUGACAUCGAGUGGAAGCCAUAGGAACUGCAAUCUGGAUCCUAACCAAUUAGAUACUCUAUUGGCAUUCAAUUGAAAUUACCCACAUCAAAAAAAUCCAACCUCCUGGAUGGAUUUUCCUCAGAUUUUCACCUGCCAUAUCAGUUCUGUUAUAAUCACAGACAUUAUUUUUAGUUUUGGAAAUCUACCAAUAAUAUGCAUAUCCUAGCUUCUGGGCCUGAGUAACAGGCAGUUUACUUUGGGCACGCUUCUCAUCCAGACGUCGAAAUACUGCCUCCAGCCAUAAUAAGUUAAAUCAGGAGACCUACAUGUAGAUUUUUUUUUUAUUAUAAGAUUACAGCAGGCCUACCGCAGGUGUUGGAGGUCUUUUAUUGAUCCUUUAUUUUAAUACAUAAAGUCUACUUACUCUGCUGGCGCCUUGACCCAGUUUAUGCCCUCAUUUGCAAUGCAACCUUGGGUGUCAGUGUGUUUUGGUCCGAGCAGACCCUUUUCCGGCUAACAGACAUAGUUUUCAUCAAGCCAGCUUCUUUAUAUAGCGCUACCCGUUCCAGGGUUAGGACAGUAACCACCAGAGGACUUGAAAAUGACUUCGGAGCUGAGAGGAUCACCAAAACAUAAAGAGCAUACAACCUUGCCGACAACCAUCCGUGGAGAUCAGUGGACAAAGAGCCCCACCGAAAAAAAAACCUUGGUUCCCAAGAAAGUGGUUAGUUUCUUAAAAUGUGUUUCUUUACGCAGCAUUUGUGUGUUGCAGUCACUUUUAAUUCUUAAUUACUGUUACUAUCAUAGGCCACUGUAAUCAAUGGGGGCUCAGGGCGGUACCAUUCUGCUCAUCUGAUGAAGGUGCACAUGGAUCAGAUUCAAACUUUGAAGACCUAGAUCGAGUCAUUGAAUGCAGACCAGCAUAAAGAGAAACAUUCUCUGAGGGCAUAGAUACGGGCGACAGCUGAUGCAUUGGUCCAGAGCCAGGCGAUAUUGGCAGAGAGUCACUCGUUAUUGGCGGAGAGUCAGGCACACCUGUGAGCUCUCUCCCAACAGACAUGGUGGGUUUGUCAAGUUGUCGGUUCACCCUGACAUUUCCAUUAAACUUCUGAAAACAGACCUUGACUAACUGCUCACCAGGCACAUCAAGGGCCGUCCGGACCGUUACGCUGUUCUGCUAUUCCAAGGAUGUGUAACCGAAGAGAGAUACCACGAGUGGACACAGAAUACCAACUGGGAUGGAUCCCAAGGAAAAUCUGUUUUACCAGUGAACCUCUGUGUGUUCAUCAUUAAUACUGUGUCUCAGAAGUUUCUGCCCAUGACUGAUGCAACCCAAAAAAGCAUUAAAGACAGAGUUAAUGAGUAUUUGAGGUCACUGAGAAAGUCUGGACAUUCCCUUAUGUAAGGAAUUAGGCACAUUACCAUGUACUGUAGUCUAUGUUUAUUUGUCAGACUGCACAGUAGCCUAAUAAACAUAUGCAUUUUGAACAGUUUAACCAUUUGCUUACUGGCUCCCGAGUGGCACAGCGGUCUAAGGCACUGCAUCUCAGUGCUUGAGGUGUCACUACAGACACCCUGGUUAAAUUCCAAGCUGUAUCACAAUUGACCGUGAUUUGGAAUCCCAUAGGGCGGUGCACAAUUGGCCCAGUGUCGUCCGGGUUUGGCCGGUGUAGGCCAUCACUGUAAAUAAGAAUGUGUUCUUCACUGACUUGCCUAGUUAAAUAAAAGUUACAUUUUGGUUUUGCCUACACCUAGCGACCUGUUUAAAUAAUAUGAGCCAAACAUUAAAUUUUAUUUGGAAUGGCAAGCGAGACAACAUUAUUAUAGGAUUAUUCAAUCACUAAUGUCUUUGGAUCAAAAUAAAAACUUAAAUCCGAACUGGUUGGAGAUAAGAGUACAUGGCCAUAAAGGCUAUACCAUUUUUCAAGCUGUUCAAACACUUAUAGAUGACCAGCAUGGUCAAAUAAUAUAAUAUGGGGUUAUAGAGGGUGCACCCAGUCAGCACCUUAGGAGUAAAUGCAAGAUGGCUUUUCAUAGCUGAGCCUUCAGAGGUCAAGACAACAAGUGCAUGUGCGAGAGAGAGAAUCAAAACAAACAAUAAAGCGUGGAAUACAGCAAUAAGAAUGUCAGUUUAAUAUGCAGUGCAUAUCACCUCUUAUUUCCCUUCUCAGAGUUAAGAAUUGUGUGUGUUCAAUUAUUUGUGACAUUGUGGUAUUUAAAGCAUAUUGAAGAUAGAAGCAUAAGGAUUUGAAGUAAUAGCCUACCCUUUAAUGAAUACUCAGGGAGAAAAAGGUGUAGA